rnacentral:rRNA from 1 species
UACGUAGGGUGCGAGCGUUAAUCGGAAUUACUGGGCGUAAAGUGUGCGCAGGCGGCUAAGCAAGUCGAGUGUGAAAGCCCCGGGCUUAACUUGGGAAUUGCGCUCGAAACUACUUGGCUGGAGUGUGGCAGAGGAAGGUGGAAUUCCACGUGUAGCGGUGAAAUGCGUAGAGAUGUGGAGGAACACCAAUGGCGAAGGCAGCCUUCUGGGCCAACACUGACGCUCAUGCACGAAAGCGUGGGGAGCAAACAGG